CUUCCCAUUCCGAACAGAGAAGUUAAGCUUCGUCACGCCGAUGGUACUGCGCAAGUGGGAGAGUAGGUAGUCGCCGUCU
rnacentral:rRNA from 1 species